UCAUCAAUAAAAUAUCCACUUCAGUGGUUGGGGAGCUUUAGUUUUGUGGUUGAGGUCCGGGUUCGAAUAUUUGUGUUGGUGAAAUUAAUCUUUUUCUUGGUUCUAGUAUAGGCCGACCUUAUUGUGUGGUUUUAUAGGUACUGGGAUAUGUUUGAAUAUCUUACUAUAAUAAAAGAAAAAUAAAAAGACCAUUAUUUUAUUUGGUUUUAUUUUAUUUUUAUUUUAUUUUUCCUUGAUUCUCUCAAAGUCUGCUCCAACUUUUUGUUUCAAGUUGGUUACCCCUCAUUCCCCAUUUGUUUUACACAUCGCUUGUUCUGUUUUUUGCUAUCGAAAUCUAUCUUCUUCUUUAUUUGAUUUUUCCCUUCUAUUUCGUCUUUCUUUUAUUCUUCAAUUUUUGCUACUGCUAAUUCUUGAAGAGUUAAUCCUUGUUUUGUGGGGUAUGUGCUAAAGGUGAAGUUUAAGAGACGUUUAAUUCACCGGAAAAUUAGGAUUUGAAGAAGUGAUGUUCGUCCAAGGGUAAUCCCCAGCCUUACGAUUUGGAGCCGCGAGGGACUCGGAGGUGGCCACAUGACCGCUGAUGCUUUGCUGUAGACUUUUUAUUUGAAUUUUAUAUUUUAAUCUUUUAAUUAUGUAAUAAGGCCAUUGAGGGAUUAAAUUUUUAAUUGGGCUUUUUAUUUAAAA